AUUGAACGCUGGCGGCAUGCCUUACACAUGCAAGUCGAACGGCAGCGCGGGCUUCGGCCUGGCGGCGAGUGGCGAACGGGUGAGUAAUGCAUCGGAACGUGCCCAGUAGUGGGGGAUAGCCCAGCGAAAGCCGGAUUAAUACCGCAUACGACCUGAGGGUGAAAGCGGGGGACCGAAAGGCCUCGCGCUAUUGGAGCGGCCGAUGUCGGAAUAGCUAGUUGGUGGGGUAAAGGCUUACCAAGGCGACGAUCCGUAGCUGGUCUGAGAGGACGACCAGCCACACUGGGACUGAGACACGGCCCAGACUCCUACGGGAGGCAGCAGUGGGGAAUUUUGGACAAUGGGGGCAACCCUGAUCCAGCCAUGCCGCGUGCGGGAAGAAGGCCUUCGGGUUGUAAACCGCUUUUGUUCGGGAAGAAAUCCUCUGGGCUAAUACCCCGGGGGGAUGACGGUACCGGAAGAAUAAGCACCGGCUAACUACGUG
rnacentral:rRNA from 1 species